GCGAGGUUGGCCCAGCCUGGUUAAGGUAAACGAAGUGCGGGUUCAAAUCCCGCACUUCGCA
rnacentral:tRNA from 1 species